UACGAAGGGGGCUAGCGUUGCUCGGAAUGACUGGGCGUAAAGAGCGCGUAGGCGGUUUGUACAGUCAGAUGUGAAAUUCCCGGGCUCAACCUGGGGGCUGCAUUUGAUACGUGCGGACUUGAGUGGGGAAGAGGGUCGUGGAAUUCCCAGUGUAGAGGUGAAAUUCGUAGAUAUUGGGAAGAACACCGGUGGCGAAGGCGGCUCACUGGCUCGUAACUGACGCUCAUGCACGCAGCGUGGGGAUCAAACAGG
rnacentral:rRNA from 1 species